CAGCGAUAGAAGGUAGACAGAGAACUGCUUGCGUACUUCCUCAGACGUAUCUGCAUAAAUAAAAAAAUUGUGAAAAUGAAAGUAAUCGUACGCCUGGUGUUGUUGGCGUACUUGGCCAUGUCAGUAGAAGGAAACAGAUGGAGUACAAGAAGAACGAACUGUGGGGUUUCCGUCUGGUCAGAAUGGUCAGCCUGGUCAGCGCCUGCGCCCGGAGGCACACGAACCCGCACACGAGAGAUUGUCCGGUCUCCUCGAAAUGGUGGAAGCCCAUGUCCGACACUAACAGAAACGGCCUCUAGAGCAGAUCCAUGGUCCAGACAGGGAGUCCAGCAGAAGUUCCACAAUAAGUUUAUGACUGGCCAUACUCACUACUACAGUUUCAUCCCCGAUAGCUCUCGUGCUGUUGGACU